UCCGAGUUGUCCCCGGCAGUCCCAUUAGAGUCCCCGGCAUUACCCGCUGGCAACUAAUGGUAGGGGUUGCGCUCGUUGCGGCACUUAAGCCAACACCUCACGGCACGAGCUGACGACAGCCAUGCAGCACCUGUGCUGGCCCCUUACGGAGCCCUGCUUUCACAGGGUUUAACCAGCAUGUCAAGCCCAGGUAAGGUUCUUCGCGUUGCAUCGAAUUAAGCCACAUGCUCCGCCGCUUGUGCGGGUCCCCGUCAAUUCCUUUGGGUUUCAGUCUUGCGACCGUACUCCCCAGGCGGAAUGCUUAAUGCGUUAGCGACGGCACCCCGGGACUUUAAAACCCGAGACACCAAGCAUUCAUCGUUUAAGGCUAGGACUA
rnacentral:misc_RNA from 1 species